rnacentral:lncRNA from 1 species
UUAUUUAAGAAUUCUAAGUGAAGCAAAUGUCUCUUAUAUCACUUUUUCAAUGAUAAAAAUCUGAGUAGAUAUGAACGUAUAUCUAUAUUUCCAAAUGAAAACUUUAGUUAAAGAUAUAAAAACACAGACAUUUGUGACUUAUUAAAACACUUCCCUCAUGUUUAAAUGUUUCAUUUAUGUACCUAAAAUUUAGAAACAAAGUUCUAUUGGUAUGA